GGCAAGUUCUCUGUGCUUCACCUCCACCAGGAAGGAAGUCAUCCUCUGAGGGGAAAAGAGAAGUUAAGCAACCUUUCCAUCCUAAAUCUAGGACAGAUGCUCCAGACCCUCAGUCAUCUUCAUCCCUUUGUGGGACUUCCUCUAGUAUGUCCAUGUCUCUUGUAUUGGAGAGCCCAGAAUUGGACACAGCACUCCAUGUGGCCUCAGCAGUGCUGAGUAGAGGGACAGGACCACAUUCCUCUCUCUGCUGGUUUUCUUCACUAGAAUAACCCUGUGCCACUGAGAUGGUCAAGUAUGCAGUGGGGAGGAAGAAACACGCUGAUGAAGGUCUGAGAUUGCUGUGAAUUUUUCCAGGGUUGAUAGAUUUGAGUAGCCUCAAUGGUGUUGAGAAUGCUUCACUUCAGUGACCACGAGUCUGGCUCCGAUUCCCUUUAGGAAAAGGAACAACAGAAGCCAAU